UGGGGUAUAUUGGACAAUGGGCGAAAGCCUGAUCCAGCCAUGCCGCGUGUGUGAAGAAGGUCUUCGGAUUGUAAAGUACUUUAAGUUGGGAGGAAGGGCAGUAAGCGAAUACCUUGCUGUUUUGACGUUACCGACAGAAUAAGCACCGGCUAACUCUGUGCCAGCAGCCGCGGUAAUACAGAGGGUGCAAGCGUUAAUCGGAAUUACUGGGCGUAAAGCGUGCGUAGGCGGCUAAUUGAGUCGGAUGUGAAAUCCCCGAGCUUAACUUAGGAAUUGCAUUCGGUACUGGUUAGCUAGAGUGUGGGAGAGGAUGGUAGAAUUCCAGGUGUAGCGGUGAAAUGCGUAGAGAUCUGGAGGAAUACCGAUGGCGAAGGCAGCCAUCUGGCCUAACACUGACGCUGAGGUACGAAAGCAUGGGGAGCAAACAAG
rnacentral:rRNA from 1 species